CGCCCGUUGAUCUCCACAGGUCCAACACUCGAGAUGUGGGCGUGAUUGGUAGCUCCUGAAAUGAUUUUUCAAUUGGCAUCUCUGAUUGGUCGUAACUAAUCAACGGCUAAUUCAAUUAAAAAACAACGAGGAGGAAUAUUAUUGCGGUUAAUGGAGUUAUCAAGGCAGAUUAUUUUUAUCCUGAUGUCGGAAUUAGAUGGAAGUCACGCUGGGGCUCAUCAGGGAGAUCAUGCAACUGGAGAAUCAGAUGGAAAUAGGGAAAUGGGGGAAAUGUCUUGGAGAAAUACUGGAGGCAGUGGAUACCUGACUGAGGAUGUGGUUGAAGAGCACCGGCCAGAGG